rnacentral:rRNA from 1 species
AAUCAACGCUGGCGGCGUGCCUCAGACAUGCAAGUCGAACGAUUAAGACUCCCUUCGGGGAGUGCAUAAAGUGGCGCACGGGUGAGUAACACGUAAGUAAUCUACCUUUGAGUGGGGAAUAACAACCGGAAACGGUUGCUAAUACCGCAUAAUGCAGCGGCACCGCAAGGUGACAGUUGUUAAGGAUUUAUCGCUUAAAGAGGGGCUUGCGGCAGAUUAGCUAGUUGGUAAGGUAAUGGCUUACCAAGGCUACGAUCUGUAACCGGUCUAAGAGGACGGUCGGUCACACUGACACUGAAUAACGGGUCAGACUCCUACGGGAGGCAGCAGUCGGGAAUUUUGGGCAAUGGGCGAAAGCCUGACCCAGCAACGCCGCGUGAAGGAUGAAGUAUUUCGGUAUGUAAACUUCGAAAGAAUGGGAAGAAUAAAUGACGGUACCAUUUAUAAGGUCCGGCUAACUACGUGCCAGCAGCCGCAGUAAUAC